AAAGGAAUUGACGGGGGCCCGCACAAGCAGUGGAGUAUGUGGUUUAAUUCGAAGCAACGCGAAGAACCUUACCAGGGCUUGACAUCCUCUGACGACGGUAGAGAUAUCGUUUUCCCUUCGGGGACAGAGAGACAGGUGGUGCAUGGUUGUCGUCAGCUCGUGUCGUGAGAUGUUGGGUUAAGUCCCGCAACGAGCGCAACCCCUAUGGUCAGUUGCCAGCACGUAAAGGUGGGCACUCUGGCGAGACUGCCGUUGACAAAACGGAGGAAGGUGGGGACGACGUCAAAUCAUCAUGCCCCUUAUGUCCUGGGCUACACACGUACUACAAUGGUAACAACAGAGGGCAGCCAGGUCGCGAGGCCGAGCGAAUCCCAAAAUGUUAUCUCAGUUCAGAUUGCAGGCUGCAACUCGCCUGCAUGAAGUCGGAAUUGCUAGUAAUGGCAGGUCAGCAUACUGCCGUGAAUACGUUCCCGGGCCUUGUACACACCGCCCGU
rnacentral:rRNA from 1 species